AGUGAACGCUGGCGGUAGGCCUAACUCAUGCAAGUCGAACGGCAGCACAGUAAGAGCUUGCUCUUACGGGUGGCGAGUGGCGGACGGGUGAGGGAUACAUCGGAAUCUACUUUUUCGUGGGGGAUAACGUAGGGAAACUUACGCUAAUACCGCAUACGACCUACGGGUGAAAGCAGGGGAUCUUCGGACCUUGCGCGAUUGAAUGAGCCGAUGUCGGAUUAGCUAGUUGGCGGGGUAAAGGCCCACCAAGGCGACGAUCCGUAGCUGGUCUGAGAGGAUGAUCAGCCACACUGGAACUGAGACACGGUCCAGACUCCUACGGGAGGCAGCAGUGGGGAAUAUUGGACAAUGGGCGCAAGCCUGAUCCAGCCAUACCGCGUGGGUGAAGAAGGCCUUCGGGUUGUAAAGCCCUUUUGUUGGGAAAGAAAAGCAGCAGGUUAAUACCCCGCUGUUCUGACGGUACCCAAAGAAUAAGCACCGGCUAACUUCGUG
rnacentral:rRNA from 1 species